GCAUGGUUGGAAGAGUCUCAAAAAGCCACAAAAUGCAGUGCAAAACAGUUGAUACACCUAGCAAAGACCUUCAACAGCCAUCUCCUAAAGUUUUGGUGAAUGCAUCAUCAAAGAAGCUAGAUUCAACAGCUUCAACAAGAGUAGCUUGCUGCAGAAAUCAAAGAUUUUGUACUUGUAAAAGUUGUAUGGAGUACAGCCGACAUAAUGAGAUCAGCCUAAAAUUGGUUCAGAAGAAUGAAGCCUCUGAGCCAUUUUCAAGUAAAAAAUUUGUUGGUGUGGCUGAUAAACAGUGUAAACAAUUGUUAGAUGCAUUGGGAAUUUUCAAUUCGAAUAAGGAAUUGUUUGUAAAUCUACUACAAGACCCAAAUUCUCUGUUAAUUAAACGUAUUGAAGGCUCUACUGAUUCGAGGAACAGAAAACAGCAGAUGAUGACUUUCUUUGAUAGCAGGUUGUCUGAAAACAAGAUAAGAGAAGUGGGGGAAUAUGAGGAGCCUAAGUACUGUCAAAACUUGAAGCCCUGUGAUAGAUUACCUGCUGAGGAUAGUGAUGACUCUCUAUCUUUGGAAAGAAUAGUUGUAUUAAAGCCAAAUUCAACUAGCUCACUACAGGCGGCUGUGGGAACCAAUUAUUGCUCCUCU
rnacentral:lncRNA from 1 species